GAACAUUGGCACCGGUUACCGCUCCGUGGGAAUGGCUAGGUUAACGUUGCAAGGAGAAGUCGCUAUCUUGAUUAGACGUACCUGAGAAUAGGCCCGCUAUACGUGCCAGCAGGCGCGGUAGUACGUACGGUGCAGCGUAUCGACUACUGAGCGUAAGCGUGGGCAGCGCUAUGCAAGACAGAGGUGAAAUCCCGGGCUCCACCUGGGACUGCUUUGUGACUGCAUGGCUAGAGUACGGUAGAGGGGGAUGGAAUUCCGCGUGUAGCAGUGAAAUGCGUAGAUAUGCGGAGGAACACGAUGGCGAAGGCAAUCCCCUGGACCUGUACUGACGCUCAUGCACGAAAGCGUGGGGAGCAAACAGGAUUAGAUACCUGGUAGACACGCCCUAAACGAUGUCAACUGGUUGUUGGGAGGGUUUCUUCUCAGUAACGUAGCUAACGCGUGAAGUUGACCGCCUGGGGAGUACGGCCGCAAGGUUGAAACUCAAAGGAAUUGACGGGGACCCGCACAAGCGGUGGAUGAUGUGGUUUAAUUCGAUGCAACGCGAAAAACCUUACCUACCCUUGACAUGUCUGGAAUCCUGAAGAGAUUCGGGAGUGCUCGAAAGAGAGCCAGAACACAGGUGCUGCAUGGCCGUCGUCAGCUCGUGUCGUGAGAUGUUGGGUUAAGUCCCGCAACGAGCGCAACCCUUGUCAUUAGUUGCUACGAAAGGGCACUCUAAUGAGACUGCCGGUGACAAACCGGAGGAAGGUGGGGAUGACGUCAGGUCAUCAUGGCCCUUAUGGGUAGGGCUACACACGUCAUACAAUGGCCGGGACAGAGGGCUGCCAACCCGCGAGGGGGAGCUAAUCCCAGAAACCCGGUCGUAGUCCGGAUCGUAGUCUGCAACUCGACUGCGUGAAGUCGGAAUCGCUAGUAAUCGCGGAUCAGCUUGCCGCGGUGAAUACGUUCCCGGGUCUUGUACACACCGCCCGUCACACCAUGGGAGCGGGUUCUGCCAGAAGUAGUUAGCCUAACCGCAAGGGGGGCGAUUACCACGGCAGGGUUCGUGACUGGGGUGAAGUCGUGAACAAGG
rnacentral:rRNA from 1 species